rnacentral:lncRNA from 1 species
GAGAAGUAAGAAAAAGGAAGAACAAAACCGUAGGUGGAAAAAUUCAAGGGAAAUUUGUGAAAAUUCAAGAAAACAAGUGAAAAAAGGUAAGAUUUUUCAAUUUAAGCUUGAGAUCUCUCUUUCUUAAGCAUUUUUUCUUAUUUUCCAUGGUUGAAUCACAUGCAAUCAUGAUGAAUCCCUUGCUGGCCAAACACUUAGAGGGAGGUUUUGAUGCUUGAUUUGGUUAGAUUUCAAUGUAUUUUAGUGUUUUUAGUUAGUUAGUGAUGUGUAGCAUGAAAAGCCAACAAGAAAAAUUCACUUCCUCCCAUCACCCAUCAUUGGUCGAAUCUUCCAUGUAGAGUGUGUAUGGUGGAUUUGAUUUUAUUUCAAGUGAAUUGGUUAAGAAAUGAUGAAUUACGGUGAUAAAAUCAAGUAGGAAAAAUCAUAGUGUGGAUGCACCCACCAUGGCCGAAAUUCCCAAGAGAAAAUGUGAAGAUGAUUUUGCUAAAUUUUAUGCUAUUUGACUUGUGUUUGAUGGUUUGGGGGAUUAGAAGAAAAAUGGAGUUAAUUGGAGUUGAAUUGGACAUAUUGGCCAAUUAAUCGAGUGAUAGAUCGAAUUAGGUCAAUACUGUUUUAUUUAGAUACACAAUUGAAUUGUGUAGAACACCGUGUUUAGACGAUAAUCUGAACAACUUGCAUUCCAUUUCAUGCAUCCAUAUAGUUUUAUAACGGUUUAGCACCAAUGUGGCAAAUUACUUGAUUGUGCAUUAUGUUUAGGUGGUGAAUCCUCUGAUAAGGGCAAAGAAAUUGUACCCGAGGAUCGAUAGUCGGAGUACUCUAAAAAUUCGACUCCUGAAAUAGUGAGUAACCUUAUUAUCAUUUUAAUUAUCUAAAGUGGUCUUUUUAUUUGAUUUUGUGAAUUUUAUGGAAAAUGAGUUUAAAUGGUUAAUUUUUAGGUUUUAUAAACAAAAUGUGUUUAAAUGAAAUGAUUUUAUAAAUUAUCUUGAAAUUGAAUGAUGGCUUUGAAAAUAGAGUAAUUGGAGACCAUUUGAUGUAUUGUGAAUUUAUGGUUCUAAUUGAUUGGCUUAUGGCAAUAUUGGCAUGAAUGGCGGAAUUGGUAAAUGUGCUGAAAAUGUGUGAACUGUUGAUUUGCCUUGAGAGGUUGUAAAAUCAAAUAAUUACCAUGUCAUGCUAUAGCAAAUUUUAUUGUAUGGUGGGUUUAGGUUGCUGCAGUGGGCGGGUUCUGUGGACCAGCCUAUUGAGGGGCAUGAAAUCUGGUUAUAUACGUACCUCGGUCAGAGAGGCGCGCAGGGUAUCUCCUGAGGUAUGGUUAGUGUCACGACUCGGAACUCCCAUCGAGCCCAUGACAACCGCCGCGAAGCCUCGACAGACAUUCUUCCCCUGAAUGCCUUUUGAGACCUCGCAAGGCUUUUGUACCAGUUUUUUCAUUCCUCUCUCUUUCUUCUUUUUUUUUUGAAUAAUAAAAUAAAAUAAAAAUAUUAAUUAAAAUAAUCUAUUUUAAUGUAAAACAAUAUAUAUAUAUAUAUAUGAAAUAUCAAAAAUUAAUUUUCUGCACAUAAAAACAAAAUAAAUUUAUACAUACUGUAAUAUAGAAAACUGGAGUAUGCAAUUUAAAUUACAAUGACACGUGGGCCCCCAAAUAACUGAGAAGGUUUAAGUCUAUAACCUUGCUUUCUAGGAUGCAACUCCGAAAUUUACUUCUCGAUGCAAUUGAUAGUCUACUGCUUAUUCUGAGCCUGAAAAAUGUAUAGGAAGAAGGGGUGAGAUUAUAAAAUCCCAGUGAGUAGACAGACAUCAUCAAAAUAAUCUAAAGCCGAGUAAUAGGAGACAAUUAAAAUAAUUCAUCUUAACCCAUAUAAAUAAUUGGAUUUCAUCUAAUUACUCAACAUGGCUUAUGCACUUUUCAAAAACUUGGCCCUUGCCAAAAAUCCAUUCUCGGGGAUACCCCGCGAAGGCAUCUUACCGAGACCGCCAAGGCUGUUUAUUGUCACACACACAAACACAUUUCACCUCUGACAACACAGCCGUUCCUUGGCGUUGGCUGAGUCCCACUUUCACGUGGUGGCCAGCGUGAAGUGUACUCAAAUCCUACCUCGAGAGUUAUCCUACGCGCCUCUCCAAUCGAGGUAAGCUCAAUAAUUGGGAACCGUGCCCCUCUAAUUAGGCUGGCCCACGGAACCCCCGUCACUGCAGUGCCCACUUUAUAAUCCACCAACCAAUAAAAUCACAAUAGUAUGACAUGGCUCACUUAACACAUUCAAGGCAAAUCAAAGCAGUUCACAUAUUCUUUAAAUCAUAAAAAUAACCAGUCAUACCCACAUUUAUCAUAAGCCAUUUAAUGUAAAAUCAUGGAUAAACAACACAAUCAUAGUAUAGGUCUCCAAUUACUCUAUUUUUGAAAUCAUUAUUAAAUUUUCAAAAAUUUUAUAAAAUUAUUUUAUAAAAUCCCAUUUUCCCAUAAAACACAAUAAUUUUCCAAUUAAACCAUUUUUCCAUAAAAUCACACAAUUAAAUAAAUCUACUCUAGAUAAUUAAGACGAUAGUAAGUUUACUCACUGUACUAGGAGUAGAUAUACUCCUAUUCUCGGUCCUCGGGUGUAGUCUUUUACCCGUAUCAGAUAGCUCACCACCUAUCCACAAUACAUGACACAAAAAAUUUAAUAAUUUGUGUCAAAUCAAUAUAUAUUAUUUCAGGCUCUUAUCCAUGCGUAUGCACUAGAUAGGGUGUGAAAUGUUUGGACAUUUGCUUAAUCACAGUGUCCAACCUAACUUGCCUAUAUACGGUGUAAAUUUCUAAAAUCUCCAAUUCAACUCCAAUUCCAUCCAUUUCAAUUUCAAUUAUCCAAUUAUAUCCACAAUACCUCAAUGACUGUGAAUGUGGUCCAAUUUAUCAGUUCGGAUCACAAAUUACGCUUUUACCCCUAGUGGGUAAAAAUUUCAAUUUUUUUGCACCAAAAAUUCCCAUUUAAUUUCCAACCUCAUAAUUCAUCAUUUUUCCAUCUAAUUCUCUUAAAAUAAAGUCAACCUCAUCCUCACACACCAUUGGCUAGAUUCGGCCUAGAGAAAUUCAUGGAGAAAAUGAAUAUUUUUCUUGUUGUUUUACUCAUAAACAUGCUAAACUAACACUAAACACUAACAUAGUUCAAAAUCAAAUUAAUCUAACAACUUUCUCUCUCUAAACCCAUAUGAUCAGAUUUGAAUCCAUCAUCAAAACACAUAAUUUAACCAUGGAAAAUAAGGAGAAAUGCAUGGGGAAAUGUUAAAUCUUAAGCUAAGCUUGAAAUCAUACCUUUAAACACUUGAUUCCUUGAAAAAUCACACUUUUUCUUUGAAUUUUCUCACUCUAGGGGUUUUUUCUCUUAUUUCUCUCUCUCUCCUGCUGGUUUUGGCUGACCCUCCCAAUGAAUAAUUCUGGAAUUUUCAAGCCUUUUAAUAGGCUUAAUAAAAUAUUAUUAUUUUAUUUAUCUUUUGAAUAUUUUAUUAUUUUAUUUUUUUCUAGCCAUUUUUUUGACUUUCUUUUUCUACCACUCAAUCCUCUUCACUUAUCCAUGUCUUCCAUGAAAUUUCUAGACUUUUCCAAAGUUUUGGUGGAGUAAAUUUUUAAAAAUUACACUUUUACCCCUGUAAAGUGAAAAAUUACAUUUUUACCCCAAAAACUGAAAAAUUGCCCAUAGACAUAUUUUUCAUCCCUUAUACUAAUACCAUUCUCCAAUUUGUCAAAUGUGAUCUAAAUUCUCUCAAUCUCAAAUUUUAUCUGCGAGUGAAAAAAUUACGAUUUUGCCCCUAGAUAGUGAAAAUUUCGAUUUGACUCCGAAUUGAUCCUCGAACUCCGAAUUACCAUUUUGAGUCAUCCCUGAACUGUGAAACUCUUAAUUUCACCUUAAAAGUCCUAUUUGAACUAGUUCGAGGCUUAAUCGACUUAAUGGUACCAUUAGGGGCAAUAUCGUCUUUUAACGAUUUUUCGAACUUCCUAAAUAUACAAACAUUCUAUCGAGCAUGUGAAUGACAUUAUAAUUAUUUUACAAAGCAGGGUUUGACAGUUAGAGUUCACGUCACGCCGAACCACCUCGUGAUGAUGAACUCAGCUAACACCAAGCAACGACUGUGUUUGUCAAACUAAAAAUAUGUUUACGUGUAUACGAAAUUUUUAAUAGCCUUGGCAGCCUCAGUUAGAUGCCUCGGCCAAGGUAUUCUCAAGAAUGAUUUUGGCAGGAGCCAAGCUUUUAAGAUACUCAUAAGCCAUGUUGAUUAUUUAAAUGAAAUGAAUAUUUAUGUUAUGAAAUACAUAUUGAGAUGGAAUAUUUUAAUCGUCUCAAUUUACUCGACUUUAGAUAUUUUGGAUGAUGUUUGUUUACUCAUUGGGAUUAUAUAAUCUAACCACCCUCCUUUCCACCCAUUUCAGGCUCAGGAUAGUUUGUAAAUAGCUGACAUCGUCGAAGGUUACAAUUGGCUUCACUUCCUCAAAAAUCGUAGGUUCACAGCCUUCGUUCACUUUUGUCAUUUAGGGGCCC